UUUCCCCCAGUCUUACCCAAGCAAACCUGCUACACAAAACCAAGAAAUUAGCAUACUUAAUUGUUUUUUUGGCUGUUAAUAUCAAUCACUGGUGCAAAAAUUACAUAUUUCUUCGUCAAAAUUGAACACGUUAAUUUUACAGGAUUACGCUUGCACGAGGAUGCACAGUAAUUCCGUGGCACGCAGUUGUUUUCUUGCCUGUCACGAGCGCAUUCCGUUACAAUUAUGAAAUAGUUCUUAUGAAGCUAUCAGCUAGCAGACUCUACGGAUGCAGGUCACUGUCGGAGGGUGGACGUGUGCCAAUAAGAUGCCGUGUUCUGCCAGGCCAUGCACAGAAGCUUGUUGGUGUCCCCAGAAGUGACCAGUGAUCCAAAUAUUAGACUCCGCCCCGCCCCCACCUCCAUCUCCUCUGUGUGGGUCACUGUCUCUGGGCCGAUGGGAUUUCCACGGGCAACUUUCUUCCUGGAGAAACCUCCAGCAAAAGAGACGUCCACAGCCCUGAGGACACCGUGCCUCCAGCUGACCUUGCCCGGGACAGCGCUGGAACUUGGGGAGGCCUGAGACCCUGGUGAGUCCCUCCCUGAGUGUACCUCAGGCCUAGCUUAUUACUUUCUUUCCUUUAGCCCACUACACAUACAAGCUAGGCCAGGGCUAGCAUUUACCCUGCUGUGACAGGUAGGGUUAGCAUUUAGCCAGGGAAGUGUAUGCUCUUGAUGGCUCCAGUACUUGAUUCAACCAAUGUAGGCCAUGAACUCUGCAGGAUGUUUCUGUGACUUUCAACCGCUCUCAGUUUAUUUCACCUGCCAUAGCAGUAUAAAUGGUAGGCCUAACCGUGUUUAAUAUAAUUUGACGAAACAAGUUUUUUAUUUUGCUGUAUGAGCUUAAUGCUUUUUGAAUGGAAAUCACGACCAAUGAUUUCAAGGUUCUAACGAGUCAGACUCACUCUGAUCUCUGCACUGGUUGGC